CCAGAAAAGUAGAGAAGGGGUAGAGAUACAGAGAGAAGGGGUCAGACACAAUUGGCAGGGAGGCACCAAAUUUCACUUGCGUCCGUGUGAAGAGACCACCAAACAGGCUUUGUGUGAGCAAUAAAGCUUUUUAAUCACCUGGGUGCAGGCGGGCUGAGUCCGAAAAGAGAGUCAGCGAAGGGAGAUAGGGAUGGAGCUGUUUUAUAGGGUUUGGGUAAGUAAAGGAAAAUUACAGUUAAAGGGGGAUGUUCUCAGGCGGGCAGGGUUGGGGGUCACAAGGUACUCAGUCGGGGAGGUUUUGAGCCAGGAUGAGUCAGGAAAAGGAAUUUCACAAGGUAAUGUCAUCAGUUAAGGCAGGAACUGGCCAUCUGGAUGUGUACAUGCAGUUCACAGGGGAUAUGAUGGCUCCACACAGGGAUGAGAGUUGCUGCUGCCCAGUCCAGAGCCACAGAGCCAAGGAGGGCCUGGCCUGCCCCAUGGCCCAUUACAGAAGAGUUCUUCUUGUUGGCAGAGACUGGGAUGAAAUUCCUUACCAUGAAGGACUGUAUUUUUUUUUUAACUUAAAUAUUCAUUGAGCAGCUUCUAUAUGCAAAUUAUGAAUAUGGAGAUUCAUAUCAUAUAUUGUCACUGCUUCAAAAAGCUCACAAUCUCUUUUCUUCCGCACAGAUUUCUGCAUCCUCUCAGUCAUGAUGAUAAAGGAUUUACUACCUCAGUCAUGUCACCACUCUUGAAUAUCAUUCCCAUGGCAUGGUGCAGUAGGAACUGGUUGACUUUUAAAACUAAGUUAUAAUAAUCUUAAAGCGAUUGGAAAUUGAGAAGAAUGUAAUGGAAAAUAUAUUUAUAUGGCUUGGUUAGCCAAAAUUCCCUCAUAAAGCACCAACCUGCAGGAUCCCUUAGCAAUUUACUGAAGAUGAAAAAUAAGCAGAACAACUUUUUAUAGGUCUGUAGUCACUAGAGAUUAAUUACAAACACUAGGUGUAUUUUAACCUAAUUCUUGGUUCCUGAAAAGCACUGCAGAUGACAGCAACAAAAGAUAAUACCUGCUUUUACCACGGGGGAAAAAAAUGGAUAACUGCGAGAGGUGAUGGAUAUGUUAAUUUGUUCCACAAUAGUAACCAUGUUAACUAAAUACAUGUAUCUGAUAACAUCAUGUUGUAGAUCUUAAAAUACACACAAUAAAAUUUAUUUUUAAGUUAA
rnacentral:lncRNA from 1 species